AACGUAGGAGACAAACGUUAUCCGGAGUUACUGGGCGUAAAGGGCGUGCAGGGGGCUUGAUAAGUUCGGCGUGAAAUUUCCCGGCUUAACCGGGGGAUGUCGUCGGAGACUGUCGAGCUAGAGGGUGAUAGAGGCGUGUGGAAUUCCGGGUGUAGUGGUGAAAUGCGUAGAGAUCCGGAGGAACACCGAUGGCGAAGGCAGCUCGCUGGGACGGUACUGACGCUGAGGCGCGAAAGCGUGGGGAGCGAACAGG
rnacentral:rRNA from 1 species